rnacentral:rRNA from 1 species
AUUGAACGCUGGCGGCAGGCCUAACACAUGCAAGUCGAGCGGAUGAAGGGAGCUUGCCCCUGGAUUCAGCGUCGGACGGGUGAGUAAUGCCUAGGAAUCUGCCUGGUAGUGGGGGAUAACGUCCGGAAACGGGAGCUAAUACCGCAUACGUCCUGCGGGAGAAAGUGGGGGAUCUUCAGACCUCACGCUAUCAGAUGAGCCUAGGUCGGAUUAGCUAGCUGGUGGGGUAAAGGCCUACCAAGGCGACGAUCCGUAACUGGACUGAGUGGAUGAUUAGCCACCCCGGAAUGGAAACGCGGACCGCACUCCUAAGGAAGGCACCAGUGGGGAAUAUUGGACAGUGGGCGGAAGCCUGGUCCAGCCAUGCCGCGUCUGUGAAGAAGAUCUUCAGAUUGUAAAGCACUAUAACUUGGGAAGAAAGGCAGUAAGUUAAUACCAUGCUAUUUUGACGUUACCAGCAGAAUAGGCACCGGCUAACUUCGUG